UACCAAAACUGUUUUUCAGAUCCAUGUCCUGAUGUAAAAGAAGUUAACUCAGCUACUGACAGAGCCGCUCAGUGGAAAAGAAGAAAAGGAUAAAAUACCUUAACCUUGAGUCCCAUCACUACCACCAUACACAGUUGUCUGUCCCACCCUGACAUCCUCUGCUCAGUAAAUGCAGUUUUUCAGGUCAGAAACAUCUGACUCCUUUCCCUCAUGAGCCAUAAGUACUCUGGACCCCAAGUGCCCAUGGUGCUCAGCUCCAGGGCCCUGUCUUUGGUCACUUAUCCUCUGGCCAAGCACUUUGAUCCAAGACCUGGCUUCACACUGCACGCCACAGGCUGCAGUAAAACACGCAGAACUGCUGGGCCCCCUAAAAAAUGGCUUCAAUUCAGGCAUGAAGAGGCACUACAUUAACCAUCAGGUGAAAUACUUCACCAGCAUCGCUCAGGAGUUCAGACAAGGUGCCUGGCUAUGUAUUAGCCAAGAGAUCACCCACAUCAUCUCCAAAAUGACUACAGGAUGAGAAGAGGAUGAACAACAAGGGAACAACAAAUUGCAAAAAUCAGACUCUUCCAGGAUAACCUCUCCUCCUCCUUCCCCAACGCUUCAGCUUUUGCCUAGAACUGACAAGUUACCCAUUUCCUCAUCCAAAUGGGGAAAAGCUGCCACGGAUCUCCAGAAGAAACAGAAGAACGAGGCCGGCCUUUGCCAAGAAGCACCAAACUCCAGGAUGCAUCUAGCCAUCACCCAGCCUGCAGCAGCCAGGGACUGCAUGGGUCCUCUUCCGCCGUUUCUCCCCAAAAUGUUCAUGCUCAGAAGGAUGAGAGAAGUGGGGGAAGGAAAGGGGGAUGAGUGAGAGCACUGCCUACUGCAAAUAUUGACAUAACCAUUAUGGGCAUGUAUAAAACUCCCAUUUGUGUUAUGUGAGCAUUAUAUUCUUUG